UACUCGAUUAGUUAUUGUCAGAAAUUUUCAUGACGCGUCGGACGCGUCAAAAUACGUCAAGGGGUUAAAGGGAUUGAGAAAUACGUCUUUUCGAAAUAGCCUUUUCCAGACUUGUCAUCGUUUUUCUGUCCUUGAAUGCCUUUCAUUUAAUUUGAUUUCCGCGGCGUCUACACUUGUAUAGAUUAAGAAAUGUUUUGCAUUCUUCGUGUCUGGCAAUAACAACAGUCGGAGUCAUGUUUGUCAGCAACAGGCUUUUCGUUCGAACGUUCUAUCGCUUUAACUUUAAAGAAAACCAUUGUUAUACCUUAACAACGUUGGGUACUUACGUUCUUUAAAUGUUAAUUAGUAGAAUUGCCAAGUGAAAAAUGUUACUUUGAUGUGAAGAUUUUUAAUAUGCAACUGUAGCAUAUUUAUAGCUAGACUAUGGAUCCUUAUGCAAAAUAAAAAUUGUCAUUAAUUAUAAGAAACCUAAGUUCGAUGUCUUUUCUCUUAUUAGCAAUUGCAGCAAGUUCUCGAAUUCUUUUAAAGCUCUUAAAGGAGUUUCGUAUUCGAUCUGUUCAUUUUUAUCAUAAAUGCAUAAAAUCUGUGCUCUAUUUAUAACACAACGUGAGAAUGUUAUCAGAAAUUAUCUUCCUUAUAUCUGUCGGACGAUAUUUCGAAUUAUCACGGUAUUAACUUUCGAGAUCCAUCAAACGGUGCUUUACAUUUCACGUUAUUGCACGUACUCGGAACAGCUACAUCGAUGAAUAUUGAAUACACCUCGUCACGUUUUGCGUUACUAAUUAAUUCAUAACACUAGGUAUAAUCACUGACACGUUAAUUAGUUUACGAGCGACAGAAGUCAUGUUUAAACAUUCAUUUUACGCGACAGUAAAUAAUUUCUUGUAAUAUAUUGUUGAAAAUUUGUUGGAAGAAUCGGUCAACUUGCAUCAAGAAUUUCCAUCUUUUUUCGCUCGUUAGUUAUAUUAAAAAUUAAGCAUUUUGUAGAUCGCGUUCACUUUUUUUCACUGCAUAUUAAUCCUUUCGUAGAUCAUAUACACUGUUCAUGGAUUAAUAAAUAAUUAUUGGAGAUGAAUUAUCUGUAAUGACAUUUUAUCAAUAAACAUAUCGCAUUCGCAUUAAAAAAUUGAAUAAAAGACGGACAAUUUUCAUGUGUGGAAAGGUUAAUUUUAUUUGCAAAAAGGGCGAGCACGGUCUACAAAAAGGAUGAAUUUUUCGUGCAAAACCUUCAUAACACCGCUAAGCGAAUAUUGCGAACGCAAUAUUCGGAUGCCCUGGAAAUGUGCUAAUUAUGUUACACGUAAUCGAUACUUGCCUCACGUAAUAUGGAUUUUCCACUAAUUAAUACCUUCGAUUAUAUAUACUCAUCAUUUGCAGUAUGCCAUUCAGGUUGCCCGGAUUAAACGUGCGAUUUCCAACAGUAGAAAUUUCCGAACCAGAAGCAAAUUGGAUGUAAGCGUCGUGUAAUUACGAUAGUGCGAUGAGAAUACUCUAAUACGUAUUAAUUGAGGGAUCGUUUGGAUGCCGAUAGACACUUCUUGCAAUUUUGCAAAAUCGAUGGAAUCGAGAAUGCAGGGCGAAUUGAGUUUCGUUAGGAACAUUGUUAAAAAAUACUUCAUACUAAUUACAGUAGAGGGUGGUCGGAGAUUUUUUACGAUUCGUACCCGCUGAAACCCCUGUGGCGACCAACCUCGGAACCGCAAAGGAGGGCCCGGGAACUUUUACGAACGCAUCCGGUGCGUCCACGUGCAUACACUACCAUUCAAAAGUAUCCGGACACUUAUUCGUUAGCCGACGUCACCGAAAUAUCUUGCAAAUGGAUUGUUCAAAAUAGUUUCUAAUUAUAAUGCGAUUAAUCUGUUUGACAAUAGUUCUUUUAUAACCGUCAAAAACUACAAUAAUGUAAGACGUUCUUUUGACAUUAUUAUUUAAAAGAAGAUUACCGAGCUUCUCUUAGAUCACAGUUCAGCCAUCGAAAAGCUUGUUAGUUGACAAACGCGAGAUGAGAACGUUGCUAAUUAAAAUUAUGGGACGAAACAACUGGAAAUGUUAGAGCCAUGCGUUCAAGAUCUGAAAAAACAGCUGUAGAGAUUAAUAUAAUUGAACGAAAUAUAACAUAAAUAUUUAAUCGGAUAUAAAUUGGAGAAGAGAUUAAACUCAGAUUUCCAUGGAAGAAUCUGUUUCCAAGAGAAUCUGAAUAUUCAUCGGACACGCAUGCGUAAGCAUUUACAAGGAGAUGUUGCAAAUCAUGGUCAGACAUGUUAGUCGAUACCUGGGCAGUAGCCACGGAUACUUGACGAAUAUAUGAGGCGUUUAUAAACGCAUGUAUGCGGUAAUCGUUGGAAUUUUGCUAGGUGUCCGGAUACUUAUGAAGGGUAGUGUAUCUGCAAUAUAACCCAUCGUCUAACAUUAGUGUGUGGGAUCAAUUGCAGACAGAGUGGAGCAAUAGAAACAAAUGAGACUAUAACAAACAGCGCAUAAUGUACGAGAUUGAUCUCAGGAUACGAUCGCUAUGCAUUCUGCUUUAGCUAAGUAUAAAUGGAAACGUGAAACAGAAUUUGCAAACGUAUACCAGAUGCAUUCGGUUUUCUUCAAACGAAACCGAACGCUAGGUUUACGAGGUACUAAAAAAUGCUAUUUUAUAUUGCUUUGUGAAUAUAACAAGCACAUAUUUGUUCACAUUUGUAGCGACUUUUAUUGUAAUAUACGCUCACCGACGGAAGUUAUAUUUCUCAAUAUUUUGGCUUCGAAGAUAAAUAUACGAAGUAAUGAAGAUGAAGAGAAGUAAAACAAAAACUACGAAAUUAAAAUAAGAAUCGAACGAUUCUAAAUGAAUAAAAUUAAUAUCUUCGUUGACGCGAUACAAUUUGUAUCCUGUGCAGAAGGUUUCCUAUACUCAAAAAUGUGCAUCUGUGUAUGCACAUCUGUGUAUGCCCGACGAAACAGAUUCGUUGAAUAAAUUCUUACUAAAUGUAUCUUUAUAAUAUUAAUAAUCGUAAAUCAAAGAAUGUUUAACGUGUUGAAUAGACGGGUUCUGUAAACCUAGUUGUUAAAGUCUGCUUUCGUAUGACAAAUAAUUUCACCCUGAUUCACACAUACAAAAUUCCACCGUACGCUCGCAAUGAAAGUAACACGCUUUAAUCGAAGACGAUAUCUACGACAUCCGUCAAUUAAGUAUUUGAUCAGUAAACAUCGGUUGAUAACUAGAUAGAUCGAUAAAUGGUAGCGAAGGAAAAGCGUCGCGGUCAAUAGAUUAUUUUUACGAGCCAUUUUUAGUAUCGAUUCGAUACCGUAUUUACCGAGCGAGUGUUCCGAGAAUUUGAUGUUCUGUUUUAAUCGAUGAUAAUAUUAAUGGCGGUUGGAAACGAUGAAAAUUUGCUAGCCUGUUUUCUCGCGAACAACAAUUGCGUGUACCUACGUGCGGUACCGUACACCGUUAUACAUCGUCGAGCCGAUUUCCCAUUAGUAAAUAAGCUUUCGGGAUUGGUCUUUUAUUUUUAGAUCAACUUUUAUACACCCAAGGUUGUGGCAUCUGUUAAUCUAUAAAUAAGUCGCUCGGAAAUUCCUUUUUCACCGAUGUAUCGAUUCGUCCUACGAGCUUUCGAUUCACCGGCUAUAAAUGUGUUAACGUUGCUCUUGUUUGGCUCCGUGAGAACGGAAACGUGAAUGGAUUUCAUGAACCAGCUCGGCAAAUCGGUAAUCCCAUAACUUCGAUUAGGUAGACUUACCAAUGCGAUCUUAUUAACACUUUAUUUACUGGAAACCUAUCGGUAAGCUUUUUAACGACCGAAUUAUUCCUAAAAGAAGCUGAAUAAUCGUUUUAAAACACGUUAUUGCAUCAUAUUAAUUCACAUAAUUUGUUGAAUUAUGAGUUAGAUCGUUGUCGCUUUCGUGCUAUUUAUUAAGAAAUACUCAACCGUUUUAUUAUGUUAUGCAAUCAAAAGAUAGACCAUUGUUAUCUUGCACGAAGAUUUGCGAAUUUAGUAAAUAACGUCCGAGUUAUACAAAUGUUCCAGUAGUAGAAAAUUACGAACGAAACAAUUAUCCAGAUUUAUAUGAAAUAGUAA